rnacentral:rRNA from 1 species
UAGUAAUUUAAAAGGGGCAAUUGCUCCACUAUGAGAUGGACCUGCGUUGUAUAAGCUAGUUGGUGAGGUAAAGGCUCACCAAGGCGACGAUACAUAGCCGACCUGAGAGGGUGAUCGGCCACACUGGGACUGAGACACGGCCCAGACUCCUACGGGAGGCAGCAGUAGGGAAUCUUCGGCAAUGGGGGCAACCCUGACCGAGCAACGCCGCGUGAGUGAAGAAGGUUUUCGGAUCGUAAAGCUCUGUUGUUAGAGAAGAAUGAUGGUGGGAGUGGAAAAUCCACCAAGUGACGGUAACUAACCAGAAAGGGACGGCUAACUACGUGCCAGCAGCCGCGGUAAUACGUAGGUCCCGAGCGUUGUCCGGAUUUAUUGGGCGUAAAGCGAGCGCAGGCGGUUUUUUAAGUCUGAAGUUAAAGGCAUUGGCUCAACCAAUGUACGCUUUGGAAACUGGAGAACUUGAGUGCAGAAGGGGAGAGUGGAAUUCCAUGUGUAGCGGUGAAAUGCGUAGAUAUAUGGAGGAACACCAGUGGCGAAGGCGACUUUCUGGUCUG